CCUAGGGGUGGCUGCAGUGGGGAAUAUUGGACAAUGGGCGAAAGCCUGAUCCAGCCAUGCCGCGUGUGUGAAGAAGGCCUUCGGGUUGUAAAGCACUUUCAGUGGGGAAGAAAGCCUUGGGGCUAAUACCCUCGAGGAAGGACAUCACCCACAGAAGAAGCACCGGCUAACUCCGUGCCAGCAGCCGCGGUAAUACGGAGGGUGCGAGCGUUAAUCGGAAUUACUGGGCGUAAAGCGCGCGUAGGCGGUCUGAUAAGCCGGUUGUGAAAGCCCCGGGCUCAACCUGGGAACGGCAUCCGGAACUGUCAGGCUAGAGUGCAGGAGAGGAAGGUAGAAUUCCCGGUGUAGCGGUGAAAUGCGUAGAGAUCGGGAGGAAUACCAGUGGCGAAGGCGGCCUUCUGGACUGACACUGACGCUGAGGUGCGAAAGCGUGGGUAGCAAACAGGAUUAGAUACCCAGUAGUC
rnacentral:rRNA from 1 species